rnacentral:rRNA from 1 species
ACGAACGCUGGCGGCGUGCUUAACACCUGCAAGUCGCACGGAAAGGCCCUGCUUUUGUGGGGUGCUCGAGUGGCGAACGGGUGAGUAACACGUGAGUAACCUGCCCUUGACUUUGGGAUAACUUCAGGAAACUGGGGCUAAUACCGGAUAGGAGCUCCUGCUGCAUGGUGGGGGUUGGAAAGUUUCGGCGGUUGGGGAUGGACUCGCGGCUUAUCAGCUUGUUGGUGGGGUAGUGGCUUACCAAGGCUUUGACGGGUAGCCGGCCUGAGAGGGUGACCGGCCACAUUGGGACUGAGAUACGGCCCAGACUCCUACGGGAGGCAGCAGUGGGGAAUAUUGCACAAUGGGCGGAAGCCUGAUGCAGCAACGCCGCGUGCGGGAUGACGGCCUUCGGGGUGUAAACCGCUUUCGCCUGUGACGAAGCGUGAGUGACGGUAAUGGGUAAAGAAGCACCGGCUAACUACGUG